GGGCAUACCCGUAGACCUUGCCUGACUGUGCUCAUGGCCAGGCAAGGGGGACAGUGUAUGCAAGAGUAAUGUGGAGUUUGUGCUAACUCUAGCCAGCUUAAUUAAUGACUGGAUAAAUUGCACAACUCUCACAUUCU
rnacentral:snoRNA from 1 species